rnacentral:rRNA from 1 species
UACGUAGGGUGCGAGCGUUGCUCGGAAUCACUGGGCGUAAAGGGUGCGUAGGCGGGUCUUUAAGUCAGGGGUGAAAUCCUGGAGCUCAACUCCAGAACUGCCUUUGAUACUGAGGAUCUUGAGUUCGGGAGAGGUGAGUGGAACUGCGAGUGUAGAGGUGAAAUUCGUAGAUAUUCGCAAGAACACCAGUGGCGAAGGCGGCUCACUGGCCCGGUACUGACGCUGAGGUGCGAAAGCGUGGGGAGCAAACAGG